CGGAGGAAAAGAAGACACAUGGGGGAAGAUUUGUAACGGGGAGGGAGGCGGUAAUAGCUCUAUAUCCAAAAUAAUGGUAUAGUCAGGUUCUGCGUUGUAAUUUGCAUUUAAGAUCCUUAUUAGGUCCUUCAAAGAGGGGGACAAACAGGUACUCAUAGAGGGUGAGAAUCCCGUGUGAUGAGGGUUCUUUGAGUCGAUAAGAUUUUUAAUAAAAGUCGAAUUGGUUGGGAAAUUACCUCAAAAUGGGUGUUUAAUUGCAUGUAAAAUUAAAGUACUGGCGAGAGGAGGAAAGGGUGCAAAUCCAUUUAUGGAAAGAUGAAAACAGCUUGGAAAAGAGAGUGAAAAAGUACGAGAAAAGGCAGAAAGGGACGGGCGAUUGAUCAAACUUGGUGUUUUUAGCACGCACUCGCCUCUCGUGGGCUUGGGCCUCUCAAAAAUUAACGAUGGCCCAACAUCAAUUCCUCCGCAGGAUAAAUCACAAGAAUUAGAUACAUCUGGUAGGGUUAUAGCUUUCAGAAUACCGUUGCCCGGAUGAGGACUCGCCUCGCAAGGAGUACA
rnacentral:rRNA from 1 species